UACCUGGUUGAUCCUGCCAGUAGUCAUAUGCUUGUCUCAAAGAUUAAGCCAUGCAAGUCUAAGUACGAGCUCUCGUACAGUGAAACUGCGAAUGGCUCAUUAAAUCAGUUAUGGUUCAUUUGAUCGUACAGUUUACUUGGAUAACUGUGGUAAUUCUAGAGCUAAUACAUUGCGAGAAGCGCCGACCUCGCGGGAGGCGUGCAUUUAUCAGACCAAAAACCGGCCGCGUCUUCGGGCGCGUUCGCCUUGGUGACUCUGGAUAACUUUGCGGAUCGCACGGUCUAGCACCGGCGACGGAUCAUUCAAGUGUCUGCCCUAUCAACUUUCGUCGGUACGGUAUUUGCCUACCGAGGUUCUUACGGGUGACGGGGAAUCAGGGUUCGAUUCCGGAGAGGGAGCCUGAGAAACGGCUACCACAUCCAAGGAAGGCAGCAGGCGCGCAAAUUACCCAUUCCCGACGCGGGGAGGUAGUGACGAAAAAUAACAAUGCAGGACUCGUUCGAGGCCCUGUAAUUGGAAUGAGUACACUUUAAAAGCUUUAACGAGUAUCCAUUGGAGGGCAAGUCUGGUGCCAGCAGCCGCGGUAAUUCCAGCUCCAAAAGUAUAAUUUAAGUUGUUGCGGUUAAAAAGCUCGUAGUUG
rnacentral:ncRNA from 1 species